UGAAUAAACCUGAUGGGUUGUUGCUGGCUCUCUAGGGUAGCAUGUGCACACCUUGUCAUCUUUAUAUCUCCACCUGUGCACCUUUUGUAGAUCUUUUUCAGAUCUAUGUUGUUUCAUUUACCCCAAUGCAUGUUAAUAGAAUGUUGUGGCUUUAUAAUAUAUACNACUUUCAGCAACGGAUCUCUUGGCUCUCGCAUCGAUGAAGAACGCAGCGAAAUGCGAUAAGUAAUGUGAAUUGCAGAAUUCAGUGAAUCAUCGAAUCUUUGAACGCACCUUGCGCUCCUUGGUAUUCCGAGGAGCAUGCCUGUUUGAGUGUCAUUAAUAUAUAUAUAUCACCCCUCUUCUCUUGUUGAGUGUGUUUGGAUGUAGGGAGUGUGCUGGACUCUUAAAGGUGGUUCAGCUCUUCUGAAAUGCAUUAUCAGAACAACCUGUAUCAUUGGUGUGAUAACUAUCUACGCUAUUGAAUGUCAAGGGAAGUUCAGCUUUCCAACUGUCCUCGGACAAUUUACAUCAUUAAUGUGACCUCAAAUCAGGUAGGACUACCCGCUGAACUUAAGCAUAUCAU
rnacentral:rRNA from 1 species